rnacentral:rRNA from 1 species
GACAGAGGGUGCGAACGUUGUUCGGAAUUACUGGGCGUAAAGCGCGUGUAGGCGGCAGCGCAAGUCGGGCGUGAAAUCCCACGGCUCAACCGUGGAAGUGCACUCGAAACUGCGCAGCUAGAGUCCUGGAGAGGAAGGUGGAAUGCUUGGUGUAGAGGUGAAAUUCGUAGAUAUCAAGCGGAACACCGGUGGCGAAGGCGGCCUUCUGGACAGUGACUGACGCUGAGACGGCGAAAGCGUGGGGAGCAAACAGG